rnacentral:lncRNA from 1 species
UCGUAGAUAACGGUCAGGGGGAUUCCUUCAAUACUUUCACUUGUUUAAUUCAUGCUGACAACAACAUUAUGUUUCUUUCAUAUGCAUACUACAUGUUCAAUGCAACUGUUUUUGAAUCCGUUAAGGAUUCCACAUCUUAUCUAGCCCAAAGGCUCAUAUUCGACCCGAAGUCUCACGUGUCCGACCUGAAGGCCCAUUUUACCCAGACUUUGACCUUUAGGUAAUCCUCUUGAAUUAAGGUCCACUAGAAUAACCCUCUUCAUCAUUAAUAAGGUAAGGCGAAGGGCCAAACUUGCAUGCAAUACCCAAUCAUCAUAUUUUCAUGCAUCAUGUUCAUUAUUUCCAAGAUUAUUAAACAAUGAUCAUUCAAUAUAGAGACUUUUACAUCAAACCAAUAUGUUCAAUAAUACCAAACAUCAAUCUUUAUAGGAAUUCAUGCAUCAUACCU